GGCGACGUAGGCAAGUGGCAAGCCGACUGUCUGCAAAACAGUUAUUCAGCGGUUCGAAUCCGCUCGUCGCCUCCA
rnacentral:tRNA from 1 species